rnacentral:rRNA from 1 species
UACAGACGGUGCGAGCGUUAAUCGGAAUUACUGGGCGUAAAGCGUGCGCAGACGGUCAUGCAAGUCGGGUGUGAAAUCCCCGGGCUCAACCUGGGAAUUGCAUUCGAGACUGCGUGGCUAGGGUGCGGAAGAGGGAAGCGGAAUUUCCGGUGUAGCGGUGAAAUGCGUAGAUAUCGGAAGGAACAUCGGUGGCGAAAGCGGCUUCCUGGGCCAGCACCGACGUUCAGGCACGAAAGCGUGGGGAGCAAACAGG